rnacentral:rRNA from 1 species
GACGAACGCUGGCGGCGUGCCUAACACAUGCAAGUCGUGCGAGAAAGUUCCUUCGGGAGCGAGUAAAGCGGCGCACGGGUGAGUAACACGUAGGUAACCUGCCCCCCAGUCUGGAACAACUAGAGGAAACUCUAGCUAAUGCCGGAUGAGACCACGAUCCCUUCGGGGUUGCGGGCCAAAGAUGGCCUCUACUUGUAAGCUAUCGCUGAGGGAUGGGCCUGCGGGCCAUUAGCUUGUUGGUGAGGUAACGGCUCACCAAGGCUGUGAUGGCUAGCUGGUCUGAGAGGAUGACCAGCCACACUGGGACUGAGACACGGCCCAGACUCCUACGGGAGGCAGCAGU